AUGAACGCUAGCUACAGGCUUAACACAUGCAAGUCGAGGGGCAGCAUGGACAUAGCUUGCUAUGUUUGAUGGCGACCGGCGCACGGGUGCGUAACACGUAUCCAAUCUGCCCGUUACUCGGGGAUAGCCUUCUGAAAAGGAAGAUUAAUACCCGAUGGCAUGUAUUUCCGGCAUCGGAGAUACAUUAAAGAUUUAUCGGUAACGGAUGAGGAUGCGUACGAUUAGCUUGUUGGCGGGUAACGGCCCACCAAGGCGACGAUCGUUAGGGGUUCUGAGAGGAAGGUCCCCCACACUGGAACUGAGACACGGUCCAGACUCCUACGGGAGGCAGCAGUGAGGAAUAUUGGUCAAUGGAGGCAACUCUGAACCAGCCAAGUAGCGUGCAGGACGACGGCCCUAUGGGUCUUAAACUUCUUUUGCGAGGGAGCAAUAAGGUCUACGUGUAGACUGAUGAGAGUACCUUGCGAAUAAGCAUCGGCUAACUCCGUG
rnacentral:rRNA from 1 species